GUGUUCAUUUCAGCAGCACAUGUACUAAAAAAUUGGAACGAUAACAGAGAUUAGCAUGCUUCUGUGCAAGGAUGGCAGGGAAAUUCAUGAAGUGUUCCAUAUUAAA
rnacentral:snRNA from 1 species